CCCGGCUGCUAUUUGGGUGAGGAUAAGCCAUGCCAGUCGUAUGGGAUACCUAAACUUCCCAUGGCAAACUGCUCAGUAACACAUGAUUAACUUACCCUAAAGAAAAUAAUAACCUCGGGAAACUGAGGAUAAUAAUUUAUAGUUGAGAAGGCUUGGAAAAGUUUUUCAAUGAAAUGGAUAAGAAAAAUGGUUCUUAUCUGCUUUAGGAUAGGAUCGUGGUCGAUUAUGGCUGUUGGUGAGGUAACGGCUCACCAAACCUAUAAUCGAUAAGGGCCGUGAGAGCGGGAGCCCUGAGAUGGGUCCUGAGACAAUGACCCAGGCCUUACGAGGCGCAGCAGGCGCGAAACCUCCGCAAUACACGAAAGUGUGACGGGGUUACCCAAAGUGUUCAUUUAUGGACUGUGGUAGGUGAGUAAUGUCCCCUACUAGAAAGGAGAGGGCAAGGCUGGUGCCAGCCGCCGCGGUAAAACCAGCUCUUCAAGUGGUCGGGAUAAUUAUUGGGCUUAAAGUGUCCGUAGCCGGUUUAGUAAGUUCCUGGUAAAAUCGGAUAGCUUAACUAUCUGUAUGCUAGGAAUACUGCUAUACUAGAGGGCGGGAGAGGUCUGAGGUACUACAGGGGUAGGGGUGAAAUCCUAUAAUCCUUGUCGGACCACCAGUGGCGAAGGCGUCAGACUGGAACGCGCCUGACGGUGAGGGACGAAAGCCAGGGGAGCGAACCGGAUUAGAUACCCGGGUAGUCCUGGCCGUAAACGAUGCAUACUAGGUGAUGGUACGGCCAUGGGCCAUAUCAGUGCCGUAGAGAAACCGUUAAGUGUGCCGCCUGGGAAGUACGGUCGCAAGGCUAAAACUUAAAGGAAUUGGCGGGGGAGCACCACAAGGGGUGAAGCCUGCGGUUCAAUUGGAUUCAACGCCGG
rnacentral:rRNA from 1 species